rnacentral:rRNA from 1 species
GGGGAAUUUUGGACAAUGGGGGCAACCCUGAUCCAGCCAUGCCGCGUGAGUGAAGAAGGCCUUCGGGUUGUAAAGCUCUUUCGGCGGGGAAGAAAUGGCAACGGCCAAUAUCCGUUGUUGAUGACGGUACCCGCAUAAGAAGCACCGGCUAACUACGUGCCAGCAGCCGCGGUAAUACGUAGGGUGCGAGCGUUACUCGGAAUCACUGGGCGUAAAGAGCACGUAGGCGGCCUUGCAAGUCAGAUGUGAAAUCCAACGGCUUAACCGUUGAACUGCAUUUGAAACUGCAAGGCUAGAGUAUGGGAGAGGUAGGUGGAAUUCUCGGUGUAGGGGUAAAAUCCGUAGAGAUCGAGAGGAAUACUCAUUGCGAAGGCGACCUGCUGGAACAUUACUGACGCUGAGGUGCGAAAGCGUGGGGAGCAAACA